UGAGAAUUUGAUCUUGGUUCAGAUUGAAUGCUGACGGCGUGGAUGAGGCAUGCAAGUCGAACGGAUGUAUAGAUUUCGGUCUAUAUAUUAGUGGCGGAAGGGUUAGUAAUACAUGGAUGACGUAGCUUUUACCUGGGGAUAACGGCUGGAAACGGCCGCUAAUACCGAAUGAGGUUUUAUAAAUACGUUUAUAAAAUCAAAGUUGGGGAUCUUCGGACCUAGCGGUAAAAGAUCGGUUCAUGGGAUAUCAGCUUGUUGGUGAGGUAAAAGCUCACCAAGGCUAAGACGUCUAGGCGGAUUGAGAGAUUGACCGCCAACACUGGGACUGAGACACUGCCCAGACUCCUACGGGAGGCUGCAGUCGAGGAUCUUUCGCAAUGGGCGAAAGCCUGACGAAGCGACGCCGUGUGAACGAAGAAGGCCUUCGGGUUGUAAAGUUCUUUCGCCUGGGAACAAGGGAUAUAUAUAAAUAGUAUAUAAACUUGAGGGUACCAGGUAAAGAAGCACCGGCUAACUCCGUGCCAGCAGCUGCGGUAAUACGGAGGGUGCAAGCAUUAAUCGGAUUUAUUGGGCGUAAAGGGCGCGUAGGUGGUAUAUCAAGUCAUAUGUGAAAUUCCAAGGCUCAACCUUGGAGCUGCAUGUGAAACUGAUAUUCUAGAGGUAAGGCGGAGAAAACGGAAUUUCCCGUGUAGCGGUGAAAUGCGUGGAUAUGGGAAGGAACACCGGUGGCGAAGGCGGUUUUCUAGCCUUUACCUGACACUGAGGCGCGAAAGCGAGGGGAGCAAACAGGAUUAGAUACCCUGGUAGUCCUCGCCGUAAACGUUGCAUACUUGAUGUGAUUGGGCUCAACCCCAAUUGUGUCGGAGCUAACGCGAUAAGUAUGCCGCCUGGGGAGUACGCUCGCAAGGGUGAAACUCAAAAGAAUUGACGGGGGCCCGCACAAGCAGUGGAGCAUGUGGUUUAAUUCGAUGCAACGCGAAGAACCUUACCCAGACUUGACAUGCAGAGUACGAUAUGAGAGAUCAUAUUUCCUUUAGGGGGCUCUGUGCAGGUGCUGCAUGGCUGUCGUCAGCUCGUGCCGUGAGGUGUUGGGUUAAGUCCCGCAACGAGCGCAACCCUUAUCGUUAGUUGCCAACAGGUAAUGCUGGGAACUCUAACGAGACUGCCUAGGUUAACUAGGAGGAAGGUGAGGAUGACGUCAAGUCAGCAUGGCCCUUAUGUCUGGGGCUACACACGUGCUACAAUGGUAGGUACAGAGGGUCGCCAAACCGUGAGGUGGAGCAAAUCCCAAAAAACCUAUCUCAGUUCGGAUUGUAGUCUGCAAUUUGACUACAUGAAGCUGGAAUUGCUAGUAAUGGCGCGUCAGCAAUAGCGCCGUGAAUACGUUCUCGGGCCUUGUACACACCGCCCGUCACAUCAUGGAAGUUGGUUUUACCCGAAGUCGCUGACUUAACCGCAAGGGAAGAAGCGCCGAAGGUGAGGCUGAUGACUGGGAUGAAGUCGUAACAAGGUAGCCCUAUCGGAAGGUGGGGCUGGAUCACCUCCU
rnacentral:rRNA from 1 species